rnacentral:lncRNA from 1 species
GUGGCCACUUUUCUUGCUGACAUGGGAAUAGAUGAAGGCAGGACCACUUGGCCACUGUUGGAUGAAGCAUGGUUCAUGUGGCAAGGAUGAUGAGUUCAUCCGAUUGGCAUAUGGGGACCAAUCAGAGAAAGCUGAAUCAGCAAAGCCGAGUGGACUAAGACAAGUGUUCGGAUUCUCUGUGAUGCAACUUUCACAUCAU